GAAUACAACAAGGGUUGCCCCCCCCUGCCGAAGCCUCGUGGAGCUUUUAGGUGUUUUCGCUCAAUAAACACACACAAUGCCCGGUCUGGGAAUCGAAACCGCGAUCCUCCGAAAGCGAGUUCGCUACCCUAACCAUUGGACCAUUGCGCCCCCACGAGCUAGUAUAUAAAUAUAU